AUUCUUAAUCAUAAAAUGGCGAAGGAGACAUUUAUCGAUGUAUGACAAGGUUGAAGAUUUUCUUCGAAGUAACAAUAAUCUCAUGCCCAUCAUAUACUCUUAUUCAGAUAUCAAGAAGAUGACUAGAGGCUUUAAGGAUAAAUUAGGUGAGGGAGGCUUUGGUUCAGUAUACAAAGGGAAACUUGCAAGUGGGAGAACUAUAGCAAUAAAGAUACUGGGCAAGUCCAAAGCUAAUGGACAAGAAUUUAUCAAUGAA
rnacentral:misc_RNA from 1 species